rnacentral:misc_RNA from 1 species
AAACAUUUCCCUUACAAAAUACUAUAGGAAACGAAUCUUGAAAAUCCGGCGCCGGCGGCGGUCUAUCUCCGGCGAACUGGGUUUCUUCGUCCUAAUUCUCAUGGAAUCAAUUAUCUUACAAACUCAACCAUUACAAUUCAUGAACCCAAUUACUUCAAAAUUCAUUCCCACAAUUCGAUUUACUGCUUCCUCUGUAGCAGCAUUCAAGCUCUUCUCAUCUUCAUCUUCAGCAGCCAUUACCACAGAUUCCCCUGUCAUAGAGCAAAACCCAUCUCCUAAACCAGCUAUUUCUCCGAGAAAUGGGGUUGUAAAGGCUAGGGUUAGUAAAGGCAUUUUGGAAGCUCAGCUGAAAAUGGACUGGUUGGAGUCUUUGUCUUGCCCAUUUCCAUGUACAAAGCCUAU